AAUAACGCUGGCGGCGAGCCUAACACAUGCAAGUCGAGCGGGAAAGCCCUUCGGGGUAAGUACAGCGGCGGACGGGUGAGCAACACGUGAGAAUCUGCCCUUUAGUGAAGAAUACUCCCGAGAAAUCGGGCAUAAUACUGCAUAAGUCCCUGCGGGGAGAAAGAUGGCUUUAUGCUGUCGCUAGAGGAUGAGCUCGCGUACUAUUAGCUAGUUGGUAGGGUAAUGGCCUACCAAGGCAAUGAUGGUUAACCGGCCUGAGAGGUGUUCGGUCACACUGGAACUGAGACACGGUCCAGACUCCUACGGAGGCAGCAGUGAGGAAUAUUGCGCAAUGGCGAAAGCCUGACGCAGCGG
rnacentral:rRNA from 1 species